UAUGGGUUAAAAAGGAAUUUCAAACCGAGUUCAGAGAAGGAAGCCAACUUAGAUUUGGAAGCAGUGUUUAAAAGGUGGCUCCAAAUUCUGGCGCUCUCACAUCUUCACUGGAGGCCUUGAGGGAGUUUCUUUCACUGCCCAGUCUGUCAGUGUCCAUGGUGGGCGGUGGGAUUAACAGAGGUGCCCAACAUACAGAUGGCUGUGGGCAUACAAAGCUGCUAUAUAGAAAGAACCUGAGUCAGAUUGGUGGCUUCUAUGGUGGCUGUAUCCUAUUGCUCUACCAAAGGGGCAGCAGAUAGGGCAAAACACACCUGUGCCUACAUUAUUGACCCAACUGGGAAUUGCUCUCAAGGAAAAAUUUCAAGGCUGCUUACCAAAAUAAUGAAAGAUUAAUUUCCAUCAUGUCACAGUAGAAUUUUACCUAGUCAAAAGAAAAGUUUCCUGUUUCAUUGAGUACACUGUAGCUCUGUCCUGAGGCUCAGAGAUCACAGCAGAGGAGGGAGCAGAAAGAGUUUAAGAGCCAGAGGCAUCUGAUGACUAUGAGAAGAGAGUGUGUUCCAGAUACAACAGGGCUAGUACACACAUGACUGCACGUGACUGUGACUACAAGGGCAGGAUCAGUGCAAGCUCAGGUCAAAUCCCAGCACAGAGAGGGGAGGUGGGUACAAAGCUCACUCCUGGACAUAGAGCUAAUGGCAAUCGUUAGCUGCUGGGAGGAAAGACAGUUUUCUCUAAGCGUGCAUGCAGUCCCCGGUAAGUGGACCACACUCAAGUGGAAGACUACACCACCAAGAAUAUUUGGAUAGCACAAACUGGUAAUGAUAUAUUCUUAAAGGACACAGGCUACCCAAGUAAGGCAGGGAACUGGGGGUUAUCAUAGAUGAGUUGGGAGGGUGAGGGGCGAAUAUGAUCAAAUAGCAUUGUACAAAACUCUCAAAGAACUAGUAGAAAAAUUUAAGGGAUCAGAUGGUUACAGUUUUACUCAGAGCUUCAAUCUACCUUUGAACUUUUACGUCUUCAGGGAUAGUGGGACAACCACUUCACACGUGGAUUUAAGCAUUUGUGAAAUAAACCUGACAGCCAAGCCAGAAGAAGUCCCUGCAUGGAGAGUGGAGCACUUAUGCUUUUCUGUUCUCAGUGUCUUUACAAGGCUGAUGUCUAUACUGGAGUCUCCCAGAGGAUGGACAACAAGGGAUCCAUUGUCAGUAAAUGUAACCAAAGUUUCUCAAGUGUCCCAAUCAGUGACCUUUCUUCUGCUGCGGGAUGUUUGCUUUGAUGCUACCUUGCAAAGCAAGGGGACGACCUGCAGCAUUUGUCUUAUAGGGUGUGGUCACUACAGCGCACACUCUUCCCAGCUCAGACACCAGUGUACAGCAGCAAAAUCACCUUCUUUUACUCUUAGAAAAGAGUGCAUUUUAAGUAUCUUGAUUAGAAGUGUAUUUACUCAUCUGUCACUCAACUGUGUCUCAACUUUCUCAUCGUUAAAAUGGGCCUGAUAGCAUCUAUGAUGAGGUUCAAGAGUUAAAACUAGAUGUCCUAGGGCCAGGGGACAGCUGUUGGGAAAGUACUUGUUUUGUAAGUAUCGGGACCUGAGUUUGAGCCCUGGGACCCACAUUAAAAAAAAAAAAAAAAAAAAAAAAGACAGAUGUGGGAGUUCAUACUUGUAAUUCUUAUGCUGGGGCAGUACAAACAAGCAGGUCUCUGGGACUCAGCUGGCCUAGUUGGUAAUUUUCCAAGCUAGUGGGGGACCCUAUCUACACAGGUGCAUACACACACACCCCUCUCCCCCUCACAAAACCCAAACGAACAAGACACUGGAUUCAGUCUAUCACAUGUGUCUUGAAGGUCAAGCCCAAGAUGCUGAUGUUCCCAAGAUGAAGCAAAGAUCAGUACUGAGGGCACCCGGAGCCAGGUGGAGCAAUUGUGGGUUGCAUGUCAGUCAGACCUGUUUGUCUGAGGCCAGAAAGGCCUGUAGAGGAAGAGUAGAGGUCAGGGGCAAGGAGACACAGAGGCCAUCCUGGUCGCCAUGGCCCCGGGAAUGUUUUUCAGGCUUGGGAAAGAUUCGAGCCAGCUGUCAAGGAGGCGGCUCUUAUCUAUGGCUCAUUGGUUGCUGCAGAGACCACGCUAUUUGUAAACACUGCAGGACUCCCAGGGACUGCUCCUUGGAUUUGGUGUUCAUCCACCAGCUGCCUUCCCCGCAGGAUCCUCUCAUGUAAUAAAGAAAAAGUGUGAGGAGACUGUACCCAGGAGGCUCCCACAA